UUCGAUUUAGGGGAGACUGGGGCUGGUAGUGACAGGGGUAGGUUGUUACAGUGGCAACGGUGGCGAAACAGAGAACGCUAUACUGACGUCAGAAAGAGACAAAUACUCCCGCCGCGACCGGCUACUACACCGCAAGAGCCAGUGGCGCUAACGUGUUUAUGUGAGGAGCACGCGCGUGCUGCCAUUAAAAUCGCAGGAUGAGGACGUAUAAAAGAAAAUCUGAGCGUGGCAACAUAUCUAAAGAUGUAUACGAACAAGCAGCAGUUAUUUUAGAGGAGGAUAAAACUAAAAAAGUUCGCGGAAAUCAGCUGUUUUAACAGACACUCCCGAAAAAACUGCGUUGGCGCUGGAACAGAGUAAGAAGAAGGAAAAUAAACCUAAAAGUGGAAAGUCUACCAAAGGGCAAAAAACAGGAAAGAAAAAUGACCAAGGAAAUACCAGUAAAGGAAAGAAAAUAAAGGGAACAGGAAAGCUUUCUGUACAGAGAAAGGUAUUACACGAAAGUGAUGAAGAAAGCGAAGAAGACGGUUAUUUUUGUCUGAUUUGUUGUGAUCCUUUUGAUCCAAAAAAAUCUGGUGAGGAAUGGGUAGAAUGUGUUGUUUGUAAGAAUUGGUCACAUGUGAAAUGUGUUAGGGGUAAUAUUGUACAUUAUGUAUGUUUGAAUUGUGAAAGUGACUGUUCAGACUACAGUGACUGAACUCUGAUCUGUUAAGUUUUUCUUUAAGAAUCUGAUUUUUUUAAGAAAGGUUAAUUUUGGUAUUUUUAUUAAUGAGUCAUAAUACUAUUCGUUUUGUUUAUUUAUACUUAUGUUUUGUUAAAUACAGAAGUUUAUAAGUUUAUAGGUCAGAAAUUAUUCAUAAAUAUUAUUUUCACGAGGUGUAAAACCAAAAAAAAAAUUGAUUUAAAUUUUAGAAUAUAACAUGUUUUUGUGUCCACGAGGAAUAAGACUGCUUUAAGCAUUAUUACUAUUGUCAUUUAAAUUAAGUAAGAACUUAAUUGUGAUAAUUAUUUCUAAUAAAAACUCUUGUAAUA
rnacentral:lncRNA from 1 species